rnacentral:rRNA from 1 species
UACGUAGGUGGCAAGCGUUAUCCGGAAUUAUUGGGCGUAAAGCGCGCGCAGGUGGUUUCUUAAGUCUGAUGUGAAAGCCCACGGCUCAACCGUGGAGGGUCAUUGGAAACUGGGAGACUUGAGUGCAGAAGAGGAAAGUGGAAUUCCAUGUGUAGCGGUGAAAUGCGUAGAGAUAUGGAGGAACACCAGUGGCGAAGGCGGCAUUCUGGGCCGGUACUGACGCUGAGGAGCGAAAGCUAGGGGAGCGAACAGG